ACGUCAUUUCGGUCCCGCGUCAUUUCGGACUCAGCACAAACGUCGUUUCGGACUCAGUAUGGCGACUUUUCGGACUUACUCGGUGUCAUUUCGGACUCAGUCAAACGACAUUUAGGACUCGGACCGGCGACAUUUCGGACUCGGACUCGGACUCAAAUAAAACUUAAAAUUAUGUGUGUAUAUAUUAGUAAUAGCUGUUUUUCUUUCGUUGUAGGUGAGGCUCAAGACAGACCAUUCACAUUAAUAAAGAUUUAAACAUUGUUAGUCUUGUUUUAUUUAUCCCAUACAGGCCAUUACUUGACAACACGCCUUUGAACUUGAACUUGAAGUAAAACCUAUGCUACUUGCCUUUUUUGUAUUUGUUUAUUUACUUGAUCGGAUAUUAUUGUAUUUUGAUGAGUAAAUUUUGAUUGUUGACGAUGAAUUAGUUUAGAUUGUUGACGAUAAUCGAUCCGCGAUUGUUGUUUUAAUCUAGCGAUUAGUGAAUCCAGCGAUUAGUGAAACCAUCCCAUUGUUGUAUUUAAGAUUAAUAGCGAUAAUUGAUCGGCGUUUCUAAUAGCCGCUAAGAAAUGAUUGAGAAAUAAAAACACUGAUCGGCGUUUCUAAUAGCCGCUAAGAAAUGAUUGAGAAAUAAAAACACUGCAACUCGUAUUUAAUCUGGUGUUGAUUAAUGAAAGCAAGCUGAGAUUAAUGAAGCCGUUAAGAAAUGAUUGAGCCCAAGCUCAAAUGUAUUAUAUAUAUGUGCCAUAUUUCAAUUCAAAUCAUUCUCAAUUUUUACACGAAUCUAUCAUGGCUAGUGGAAAUUGCGUAAAGUGUACCAAUCCUGUCCGUCCUCGACAAGAAGGCCUCCAGUGCGAUUCUUGUCUUUUAUGGCAACAUCGAACCUGCGAUUCCGGUACGUAAUGAAAUUUUCUUUAUUGUUAUUUAUUAAAACGUUUUAAAUUUGUCGUUUCUUGUAAGUUAUUGUUAUUUAUUAAAACGUUUUAAAUUUGUCGUUUCUUGUAAGUUAUUGUUAUUUAUUAAAACGUUUUAAAUUUGUCGUUUCUUGUAAGUUAUUGUUAUUUAUUGAAACGUUAUAAAUUUGUCGUUUCAGCUUGUAAGUUAUUGUUAUUUAUUGAAACGUUAUAAAUUUGUCGUUAUUGUUAUUUAUUGACACGUACCCGCAAUCCGGGAAUAUUAUUAUUUUAUUUAUCACUAUUUCAGGCAUCACUCGGGAUGAGUACAGGAGUUUAAACCGACAUAGAACUGCUUUUGAAUGGAAAUGCUGUAGAUGUGUUGCCCCGCUCCCCCCUACAGAAGAAGAAAUGGACAUCGAAGAAUCAUUCACCAUUGAACGACCAUACCAGCUACCUGAUCCGGUUAUCGAGUCUUCAAUGUCUGAAGAUGAGCAAGAUAUUAGCGUAUUUGCUGAAGAAGAACCUGAAUUAGCAUACACUAUAGAAGAGGCAGCAACAACACGUGGGAAAAAGAAGCUGUUUGACAACAUUGGUUUUGCUUAUACGAUAAAGACGGACAAGAAAACGACCGUAUGGAGGUGCUGCAAGAGAAAUGGUUCCCUGACUUGUCCUGCAACGGUGAUUCAGGAUGGUACCGACUUCAAGAAAGGUUUGAAAGAGCAUAUUCACCCAGCAGAACCUGGUAUAUUGACUGCUGCUAAAAUUAAAGUAACGGCUAAGAAGGAAGCCAUAGGAAAUAUUUUUACAAGAUCCUGUCCAUCAAUCGCAGAGAGUGUCAUGGCAAGUGUAGGAUCGGUCAACGAACCAGUGUAUAGCAGACCACCUCUUGCAGCAUUGAUAAGACAGCGUACAACGAAAAGGGGGACGUGUUUAAUUAUUUGAGGCGAUUGAUGGCUCUCCCUUUCCUGCCCGAAGAACACGUGGCGGGCAUGUUUGCCCAUUUGAAAGACAGGUGCCCAGAACAGUUAGAGCCGAUAUGUACAUACAUAGAAGAUCAAUGGAUUUCAUCUCGUCUGUUUCCAAUAGAAGAUUGGUGCGUGUUUAUGUUGCCAGUGAGAACCAAUAACGACGUGGAGGGCUGGCACAACAGACUAAAUUCCCGUGUCAACGCCAGAGGUCCUGUGCCAUUUUAUCUAUUGAUUUGCGCACUUUUUUCAGAAGCUACAAAGAUACCACUGGACCUCACAAUGAUGUCGGAAGGUUCAUUGAGACGACACCAAAGACGUCGGUAUCGACAUGUAGAAGGCCAACUUUUUAAUAUAUGGGAUUCAUACAAUGAAAAACAGAUGAGCACUAGUAGACUAUUAAAAAAAAUAAGUCAUUUGUAUGGUCCACCCGCUCAGUGAAAAACAAUUACAUAAUUAAAAAAAUGAAAAAAAAAAAAAAAAAAAAUGAAUAGCCGACUAAAGCUAUUUUUUCAUCAAAUAAAUACACGUGUUGUUAUAAAUGUUGCGUUAAUGUAUGAAUGUGUAUGUAUUUAUACAAUAAAUGAAUGUUUUAUAUGACCGUUGUUAUCGCUAUAUGGUAUGUUUAAAAAUAAAAUAAUAUGCCCGUUGUUAUAAAUCGAUGUUAUCAUUUUAUGCUAUGUUGAUAAAUAAAAUAGUUUAUAAAGUAAAUUGGCGUCAGUGUGUUGUAUAAUUCUAUCUUACCUACCCGAGUCCGAAACGUCACCUACCCGAGUCCGAAACGUCACCUACCCGAGUCCGAAAUGUCACCUACCCGAGUCCGAAAUGUCGGGGACAUAUUUUUUGGAGUCCGAAAUGACGUAAGUCCGAAAUGACGCGGGACCGAAAUGACAUGU